GGGGCUUCUCGGCCUUUUGGCUAAGAUCAAGUGCAGUAUCUGUUCUUAUCGGUUUACUCCUUGGGUUGUGUGCCUGCAGUUGGCCGUGUAGAGAUACCAUAAUCUGAAUCUCCCCAUAAUGCAUUUAUGGGAGGCUGAGCUCCUGUCAGCAGAGCAAUGCCUUCGUCCCUCUGUUAGCUGAGAUAAC
rnacentral:snRNA from 1 species